GUGAGUAGUUCAGAGUUUGAUCCUGGCUCAGGAUGAACGCUGGCGGCGUGCUUAACACAUGCAAGUCGAACGGAGCACUUUAGAAAGAGGAUUCGUCCAAUUGAUAAAGUUGCUUAGUGGCGGACGGGUGAGUAACGCGUGAGGAACCUGCCUCGGAGUGGGGAAUAACAGUUAGAAAUGACUGCUAAUACCGCAUAAUACAGUUGAGUCGCAUGGCUCUGACUGUCAAAGAUUUAUCGCUCUGAGAUGGCCUCGCGUCUGAUUAGCUAGUUGGUGGGGUAACGGCCCACCAAGGCGACGAUCAGUAGCCGGACUGAGAGGUUGACCGGCCACAUUGGGACUGAGACACGGCCCAG
rnacentral:rRNA from 1 species